rnacentral:rRNA from 1 species
UACGGAGGGUGCAAGCGUUAAUCGGAAUUACUGGGCGUAAAGCGUGCGCAGGCGGUUUUGUAAGUCUGUCGUGAAAGCCCCGGGCUCAACCUGGGAAUUGCGAUGGAGACUGCAAGGCUUGAAUCUGGCAGAGGGGGGUAGAAUUCCACGUGUAGCAGUGAAAUGCGUAGAGAUGUGGAGGAACACCGAUGGCGAAGGCAGCCCCCUGGGUCAAGAUUGACGCUCAUGCACGAAAGCGUGGGGAGCGAACAGG